rnacentral:rRNA from 1 species
GACGGACGCUGGCGGCGUGCUUAACACAUGCAAGUCGAACGGAAAGGCCUUUUCGGAGGUACUCGAGUGGCGAACGGGUGAGUAACACGUGGGUGAUCUGCCCUGCACUCUGGGAUAAGCCUGGGAAACUGGGUCUAAUACCGGAUAGGACCGCACUUUAGUGUGUGUGGUGGAAAGUUUUUUCGGUGUAGGAUGAGCCCGCGGCCUAUCAGCUUGUUGGUGGGGUAAUGGCCUACCAAGGCGGCGACGGGUAGCCGGACUGAGAGGUUGGUCGGCCACAUUGGGACUGAGAUACGGCCCAGACUCCUACGGGAGGCAGCAGUGGGGAAUAUUGCACAAUGGGCGCAAGCCUGGUGCAGCGACGCCGCGUGGGGGAUGACGGCCUUCGGGUUGUAAACUCCUUUCGCCAGGGACGAAGCGUUUUGUGACGGUACCUGGAGAAGAAGCACCGGCUAACUACGUG